rnacentral:misc_RNA from 1 species
AAAAAAACAAUAAUAAUAAUAAAACAAGAAAAAAAAAAUCCUGAAAUGCCAUGUUUUCCCACAGCUUUCUUGAGCUUCCAAGGUGCUACCUAUUCAAUCUAUAGAGAUCAAAAGAAUAAGUACAAGAAAGUUCAAGAAAGCUGUGGAAUAGCAUGACCAGGACUUGCAAGAAUCAACGACACCACCUUCAAAUUCUUCUCAGAUCUCACUCACAAUCCUUCCUCUUUUUCCCCCCUCCUUUCUUCUUUAUUCCUGCAAUGAAAAUAUAGUGAGAGGAAAGAUAGAGAAGGAGCAUGCCCAUACAAAAUCUCAUGGACCACUCUACAAUAUAUAAUCUUGCAACCAGCUUUAUAGAGAAGGGGUGAGUAGGGUUCACUUCAAUCACAAGAGCGCAUUUUACUCACAAAAGGAAUACUUUACCAGUGAGUAGGCAGUACAGAAACAGUUCAGAUUGGUAAAGGGAUUAAAAUAAUAAUAAUAAUAAUUUGAGAAAAAAAAUAUAUUACGUAACAAAAAAUUAUUUUAAUUUAAAAGAAAAUGAGUGAGAAAUUUACAAGAUCACCCCAUCCCCAUCACAUGGUGGCAUGUGAUGAAGAUCUUCUUUUUAUUUUAUUGGUAAGUAAAGGUAUGGGUUGCUUAUGGUCCCCCAAUCCUAAUGUUCUUCCUUUGUUCUACAUCUUAAUCUUUAUAUCAAUAUAUGUAUGUUGGAGAUCUUUUUAGACUGG